AUCUGGGCGGCGGAAUUCAGGAUGGCGGACGCGUCUUCGCGGCGCGUUCGUCGUUUGAUAUUUCCGUCGCCGACUCAACCCGCAGACGUCGCGACCUGUUCGCGGUCGGUCCUUGCUCGGAGGAGUCACGUUCGAGUUUGUUGCGUGCGCGUUUCUGCGCGUUACGCGGCAAAGGCGUGAAUCUCUGGCUGGCCGUCGGACAGUACGCUCAACGGUGUCCGGUGUCGUCGUCUCGUACGCGCGCGCACCGGUACCGGUCGGCGACGAAUUCUUCGGGCCUCUUUCCGACCCGUCUUGAAACACGGACCAAGGAGUCUAACAUGCGCGCGAGUCGCGGGGUGUCGAGCGCAUCACGGUGCGUUCGUUACGUUGCGAAACCCGUACAUGUCGAAGGCGUAAUGAAAGUAAAUGGGGAAGAUGGUGUUCCGAGUACACGUUCCGCGGUCAUUGGUACCGCGGCCGGACACCCGCAUUCCCGGGGCGUCUCAACGGCCCGUCGCGGAUGCGGGCAGUCGUCUCUCGGGGCGGCUGUCGGUCUGCGACGAACCGA
rnacentral:rRNA from 1 species